GUGGGGAAUCUUGCGCAAUGGGCGAAAGCCUGACGCAGCCAUGCCGCGUGAAUGAUGAAGGUCUUAGGAUUGUAAAAUUCUUUCACCGGGGACGAUAAUGACGGUACCCGGAGAAGAAGCUCCGGCUAACUUCGUGCCAGCAGCCGCGGUAAUACGAAGGGGGCUAGCGUUGCUCGGAAUUACUGGGCGUAAAGGGCGCGUAGGCGGACAGCUUAGUCAGAGGUGAAAGCCCAGGGCUCAACCUUGGAAUUGCCUUUGAUACUGGCUGUCUUGAGUUUGGGAGAGGUGAGUGGAACUCCGAGUGUAGAGGUGAAAUUCGUAGAUAUUCGGAAGAACACCAGUGGCGAAGGCGACUCGCUGGCCCAAUACUGACGCUGAGGCGCGAAAGCGUGGGGAGCAAACAGGAUUAGAAACCCUUGUAGUCC
rnacentral:rRNA from 1 species